rnacentral:lncRNA from 1 species
GCAGUUAUACACAUGGUCAAACCAUACACACACGACAAAAAACACGAUUUAGACAUACACAUGAAAACACAUAUUAUCAGAUUUGGCAUAAAAGUAUCAAAAAGAUCCCGAAAGAAUCCGCUUAAGUAAAAUGGAAGAGAGCGAUCCAUAACUCUGUUGCGCAUUCAGAAAUGAAAUCUAACCAAUAAAAGAAAUCUCAGUUACCAACCUACCGCAAUUGGGAACUAAAUUAGAACUAAGUGAUCAAGAUGAUUCUGCCAAGAGAGUGAAAAAAUUGGCGACAACAAGGAUUUUAAACGAAUGUGGUAGAUAUGGUGUUCGAAAUAGAAAGAAAAGAAAAAGGAGAUGAGAAAAGAAGAGAGAAGAGGAUGACACAAGGAAGUAGAAGGGAAAAGAGAAGAGAAGAAAGG